rnacentral:rRNA from 1 species
GACGAACGCUGGCGGCGUGCUUAACACAUGCAAGUCGAACGGAAAGGCCCUGCUUGCAGGGUACUCGAGUGGCGAACGGGUGAGUAACACGUGGGUGAUCUGCCCUGCACUUCGGGAUAAGCCUGGGAAACUGGGUCUAAUACCGGAUAGGAGCCAUUUUUAGUGUGAUGGUUGGAAAGUUUUUUCGGUGUAGGAUGAGCUCGCGGCCUAUCAGCUUGUUGGUGGGGUAAUGGCCUACCAAGGCGGCGACGGGUAGCCGGCCUGAGAGGGUGGACGGCCACAUUGGGACUGAGAUACGGCCCAGACUCCUACGGGAGGCAGCAGUGGGGAAUAUUGCACAAUGGGCGCAAGCCUGAUGCAGCGACGCCGCGUGGGGGAUGACGGCCUUCGGGUUGUAAAAUCCUUUCGCUAGGGACGAAGCUUUUUGUGACGGUACCUAGAGAAGAAGCACCGGCUAACUACGUG